rnacentral:rRNA from 1 species
CUGACGCUGAGGCACGAAAGCUAGGGUAGCGAAACAGAUUAGAGACCUGUGUAGUCCUAGCCGUAAACUAUCCCCGCUAGAUUCUGGUCGCAAGGCCGGAGUCGCAGUUAACACAUUAAGCGGGGCGCCUGGGGAGUACGGCCGCAAGGCUAAAACUCAAAGGAAUUGACGGGGACCCGCACAACCAGUGGAGCGUGUGGUUCAAUUUGAGACGAAGCAAAAAACCUCACCAGGGAUUGACAUGUAUUCGUUCACUCCGAUGGAAACAUUGGAGGAUCCCACCUUCAAGAGCAGAAAAAACAGAAUUUCAAAUGAAAUUGGGCAUUUGGAAUUUGAAAUUAGAAAUUUGAAAUUCAAAAACAUUUAUGUUUUUGAAGGUGGGAUGAUUACACAGGUGUUGCAUGGCUGUCGUCAGCUCGUGCCGUGAGGUGUUCCCUUAAGUGGGGAAACGAGUGCAACCCCUAUUCUAUGUUAAAUAUUCAUAGAAGACUGCCCCGUUUUUUACGGGGAGGAAGGAGGGGCGGACGUCAAGUCAGCAUGACCCUUAUACCCUGGGCUACACACACCCUACAAUGGCGAAAAACAAUGGGUUGCAAACCGGUAACGGCAAGCUAAUCCCUGAAAUUUCGCCUCAGUUCAGAUUGGGGUCUGAAACCCGACCCCAUGAAGUCGGAAUUGGUAGUAAUCGCGGAUCAGCAGGCCGCGGUGAAUACGUUCUCGGGUCUUGUACACACCGCCCGUCAAGGCAGCAAAGUCGGUAGCUAUCGAACCCCGCUUAGCGGGGGAGAUAGAGAUCGGUGAUGAAGCUUAAGUCGUAACAAGGUAUCCCUAGCCGAAGCUGGGGAUGGAUCACCUCCUU